rnacentral:rRNA from 1 species
UACGUAGGCAGCAAGCGUUGUUCGGAGUUACUGGGCGUAAAGGGUGCGUAGGCGGCUUCUUAAGUCUGGUGUGAAAUCUCCCGGCUCACCUGGGAGGGGGCGCUGGAGACUGGCGAACUGGAGGCAGGGAGAGGUCGGUGGAAUUCCCGGUGUAGUGGUGAAAUGCGUAGAGAUCGGGAGGAACACCAGUGGCGAAGGCGACCACCUGGACUGAUACUGACACUGAGGUGCGAAAGCGUGGGGAGCAAACAGG